rnacentral:rRNA from 1 species
GACGGGGAGCACCACAACAGGUGGAGCCUGCGGUUUAAUCGGACUCAACGCCGGGAAACUCACCAGAUAAGACAGCUGAAUGAUAGUCGGGCUGAAGACUCUACUUGACUAGCUGAAAGGAGGUGCAUGGCCGUCGUCAGUUCGUACUGUGAAGCAUCCUGUUAAGUCAGGCAACGAGCGAGACCCACGCCAACAGUUGCCAGCUCGUCCUCCGGGAUGGUGGGGACACUGUUGGGACCGCCUCUGCUAAAGAGGAGGAAGGAAUGGGCAACGGUAGGUCAGCAUGCCCCGAAUUAUCUGGGCUACACGCGGGCUACAAUGGGUGGGACAAUGGGUAUCUACCCCGAAAGGGGAUGGAAAUCUCCUAAAGCCAAUCUUAGUCCGGAUUGAGGGCUGCAACUCGCCCUCAUGAAGCUGGAAUCCGUAGUAAUCGCGUUUCAACAGAACGCGGUGAAUACGUCCCUGCUCCUU